AGACGAACCGUCCAAACGUUAUUCGGAAUCACUGGGCUUAAAGGGUGCGUAGGCGGCCUGGCAAGUUGGAUGUGAAAUCCCACGGCUCAACCGUGGAAUUGCGUCCAAAACUGCCAGACUAGAGGGAGACAGAGGUGAGCGGAACUAAUGGUGGAGCGGUGAAAUGCGUUGAUAUCAUUAGGAACACCGGUGGCGAAGGCGGCUCACUGGGUCUCUUCUGACGCUGAGGCACGAAAGCUAGGGUAGCGAACGGGAUUAGAUACCCCGGUAGUCC
rnacentral:rRNA from 1 species